UACGAAGGGGGCUAGCGUUGCUCGGAAUCACUGGGCGUAAAGGGUGCGUAGGCGGGUUUUAAGUCAGGGGUGAAAUCCUGGAGCUCAACUCCAGAACUGCCUUUGAUACUGAGGAUCUUGAGUUCGGGAGAGGUGAGUGGAACUGCGAGUGUAGAGGUGAAAUUCGUAGAUAUUCGCAAGAACACCAGUGGCGAAGGCGGCUCACUGGCCCGAUACUGACGCUGAGGAGCGAAAGCGUGGGGAGCGAACAGG
rnacentral:rRNA from 1 species